CUCUCCGGUUCUCGUCCGAUUGCCGAAGUUAAGCAACGUCGAGUUUGGUCAGUACCUAGAUGGGUGACCACUUAGCAAUACCAUGUGAUGUAA